CCCAAAAUCCCCAAAUUUCCCCCAAAAUUCCCCAAUUUCCGCUCACCUGCAGCACGAAGGCGCCGCAGUCGCUGUCGUUGUUCUGCCGGGCCACGUUCUGGGGGAAAAAACCCAAAUUUGGGGAUUUUGGGGAAUUCUUGGAAUUUUGGGGGUUUUUCGGGGGGAAUUUUUUUGGUUUUUUAGGGAAUUUUUUGGGAUUUUUUUGGAGCUAAUUGGGGAUUUUCUGGAGUUUUUUUAGGGGAUUUUUGGGGGAUUUUUUGGGGUUAUUUUGGGAUUUUUUUGGGGUUUUCAGGGAUUUUUUGGGAUUUUUUUCAGGGUUUUUAGGGAAUUUUUGGGUUUUUUUGGGGGGAUUUUUUAGGGGUUUUAGGGGAUUUUUUGGGAUUUUUAAGGGGAUUUUUGGGGGAUUUUUUGGGGUUAUUUUCGGGAUUUUUUGGGAUUUUUAAGGGGAUUUUUUUGGAGAUUAUUUUGGGAUUUUUUUUUGGUUUUUAGAGAAUUUUUGGGGUUUUGGGGGGGAUUUUUUUGGGAUUUUUUUGGGGGGGAUUUUUAAGGGGAUUUUUCAGAAUUUUUUGGGGAUUUUUUAGGGUUUUUAAGGAAUUUUUGGGGGAUUUUUAAGGGGAUUUUUUGGGGAUUUUUUAGGGUUUUUAAGGAAUUUUUGGGGGAUUUUUAAGGGGAUUUUUUGGGGAUUUUUUGGGGGGAUUUUUGGGGAUUUUGGAGGAUUUUUUGGAGUUUUCAAAGGGAAUUUUUGGGGGUAUUUUUUGGGAAUUAUUGGGCGGAUUUUUUGGGGUUUUUUUGGGGCAUUUUUGAGCCAUUUUCAAGGGAUUUUCUUGCGCACCAAAAAUGUGAAUUUUGGGGGAUUUUUUCUCUCUCUUGCCCAUUUUUGGGGGAUUUUUUUAAAAAUUUUUUUGGAUUUUCGUGGGAUUUUCAUGGGAUUUUUGGACCGUUUCCGGGCCCGUUUUUGGGUGGAUUUCAGGGCAUUUUGGGGGGGAUUUUCAGGGGAUUCUUUGCACAUCAAAAAUGUGAAUUUUGGGGGAUUUUUGGGGGGAUUUUUUCUCUCUCUUGCCCUUUUUCUUAGGGAUUUUUUUAGGAAUUUUUUUUUGUAUUUUCGUGGGAUUUUCGUGGGAUUUUUGGACCGUUUCCGGGCCCGUUUUUGGGUGGAUUUCGGGGGAUUUUGGGGGGGAUUCUCAUACGAUUCUUUGCACACCAAAAAUGUGAAUUUUGGGGGAUUUUUUCUCUCUCUUGCCCUUUUUUUUGGGGAUUCUUUUAGGAACUUUUUUUUGGAUUUUCGUGGGAUUUUCGUGGGAUUUUCGGACCAUUUCCGGGCCUGCUUUUGGGUGGAUUUCAGGGCAUUUUGGGGGGGAUUCUCAUAG
rnacentral:lncRNA from 1 species